AUCAGGAUCAGAAAAGUGGAGACAACGUUUCGGCUCCUCCCUUUUUCAAGUCUUGGUAAAGGCUCAGAGAGGAGCCAAAAUGUUGUCUCCACUUUUUUGUUCCUAA